rnacentral:rRNA from 1 species
GAUGAACGCUGGCGGCGUGCCUAAUACAUGCAAGUCGAGCGAACGGACGAGAAGCUUGCUUCUCUGAUGUUAGCGGCGGACGGGUGAGUAACACGUGGAUAACCUACCUAUAAGACUGGGAUAACUUCGGGAAACCGGAGCUAAUACCGGAUGAUAUUUUGAACCGCAUGGUUCAAAAGUGAAAGACGGUCUUGCUGUCACUUAUAGAUGGAUCCGCGCUGCAUUAGCUAGUUGGUAAGGUAACGGCUUACCAAGGCAACGAUGCAUAGCCGACCUGAGAGGGUGAUCGGCCACACUGGAACUGAGACACGGUCCAGACUCCUACGGGAGGCAGCAGUAGGGAAUCUUCCGCAAUGGGCGAAAGACUGACGGAGCAACGCCGCGUGAGUGAUGAAGGUCUUCGGAUCGUAAAACUCUGUUAUUAGGGAAGAACAUAUGUGUGAGUAACUGUGCACAUCUUGACGGUACCUAAUCAGAAAGCCACGGCUAACUACGUG